rnacentral:rRNA from 1 species
AUGAACGCUGGCGGCGUGCUUAACACCUGCAAGUCGAACGAAACACCUUAUUUGAUUUUCUUCGGAACUGAAGAUUUGGUGAUUGAGUGGCGGACGGGUGAGUAACGCGUGGGUAACCUGCCCUGUACAGGGGGAUAACAGUCAGAAAUGACUGCUAAUACCGCAUAAGACCACAGCACCGCAUGGUGCAGGGGUAAAAACUCCGGUGGUACAGGAUGGACCCGCGUCUGAUUAGCUGGUUGGUGAGGUAACGGCUCACCAAGGCGACGAUCAGUAGCCGGCUGGAGAGAGUGAACGGCCACAUUGGGACUGAGACACGGCCCAAACUCCUACGGGAGGCAGCAGUGGGGAAUAUUGCACAAUGGGGGAAAACCUGAUGCAGCGACGCCGCGUGAGUGAAGAAGUAUUUCGGUAUGUAAAGCUCUAUCAGCAGGGAAGAAAAUGACGGUACCUGACUAAGAAGCCCCGGCUAACUACGUG